rnacentral:rRNA from 1 species
GGAUCCAGACUUUGAUUCUGGCUCAGGACGAACGCUGGCGGCGUGCCUAACACAUGCAAGUCGAACGGAACUGUUUUGAAAGAUUUCUUCGGAAUGAAUUUAAUUUAGUUUAGUGGCGGACGGGUGAGUAACGCGUGAGUAACCUGCCUUCAAGAGGGGGAUAACAUUCUGAAAAGGAUGCUAAUACCGCAUGACAUAUCGGAACCACAUGGUUUUGAUAUCAAAGAUUUUAUCGCUUGAAGAUGGACUCGCGUCCGAUUAGUUAGUUGGUGAGGUAACGGCUCACCAAGACCGCGAUCGGUAGCCGGACUGAGAGGUUGAACGGCCACAUUGGGACUGAGACACGGCCCAGACUCCUACGGGAGGCAGCAGUGGGGGAUAUUGCGCAAUGGGGGCAACCCUGACGCAGCAACGCCGCGUGAAGGAUGAAGGUUUUCGGAUUGUAAACUUCUUUUAUUAAGGACGAAACUUGACGGUACUUAAUGAAUAAGCUCCGGCUAACUACGUGCCAGCAGCCGCGGUAAUACGUAGGGAGCAAGCGUUGUCCGGAUUUACUGGGUGUAAAGGGUGCGUAGGCGGCUUUGCAAGUCAGAUGUGAAAUCUAUGGGCUCAACCCAUAAACUGCAUUUGAAACUGUAGAGCUUGAGUGAAGUAGAGGCAGGCGGAAUUCCCCGUGUAGCGGUGAAAUGCGUAGAGAUGGGGAGGAACACCAGUGGCGAAGGCGGCCUGCUGGGCUUUAACUGACGCCGAGGCACGAAAGCGUGGGUAGCAAACAGGAUUAGAUACCCUGGUAGUCCACGCUGUAAACGAUGAUUACUAGGUGUGGGGGGUCUGACCCCUUCCGUGCCGGAGUUAACACAAUAAGUAAUCCACCUGGGGAGUACGGCCGCAAGGUUGCAACUCAAAGGAAUUGACG